rnacentral:rRNA from 1 species
GGGGGGCAGCUUACCAUGCAAGUCGAGCGGUAACAGAGAGUAGCUUGCUACUUUGCUGACGAGCGGCGGACGGGUGAGUAAUGCUUGGGAAUAUGCCUUAUGGUGGGGGACAACAGUUGGAAACGACUGCUAAUACCGCAUAACGUCUACGGACCAAAGGGGGGGAUCUUCGGACCUCUCGCCAUUUGAUUAGCCCAAGUGAGAUUAGCUAGUUGGUAAGGUAAAGGCUUACCAAGGCGACGAUCUCUAGCUGGUUUGAGAGGAUGAUCAGCCACACUGGGACUGAGACACGGCCCAGACUCCUACGGGAGGCAGCAGUGGGGAAUAUUGCACAAUGGGCGAAAGCCUGAUGCAGCCAUGCCGCGUGUGUGAAGAAGGCCUUCGGGUUGUAAAGCACUUUCAGUUGUGAGGAAAGGGGUGUAGUUAAUAGCUGCAUCCUGUGACGUUAGCAACAGAAGAAGCACCGGCUAACUUCGUGCCAGCAGCCGCGGUAAC